rnacentral:lncRNA from 1 species
CUGAAGUUUUAAUUUUCUCGAGUCAAAAGUUAAAUAAAAAGUUUUAGUUAAUGCAAAAAGUGUUUAGUAAUUUGAGUAUCACACCAAUGAUUUUAAUUAUAUAAUUAAUAUUUUUGUUUGAAUUUUUUUCUUGAAAUCAUAAAGUAAUUUUUUUGUUAUUGAUAAUAAUAUGAUUAUAUAAAUACAAAAGAAUUUAUUAUUUUAGGGGCACUAUAAUUUUUUAAUUUUAUGCACAAACUAAGUACAGUGAAAUAUUCCUUAGUCGUACACCGACGAGACCAGAAUGUCCGUUCAAGGGAGUGUCUGAUUUAAUGAAAAAUAAAUAUUGUAUAAUGUCACUCUCGCAAAAAAUCAUUUGUUGUUAGACUCCUCUUUUUUUUAAUGGAAAUUUCAGAAAUCGUAUUUCUAAUUCGUAAAGAAACUCGGAAGACUGCAUUUUUGUUAUUUUCGGCAAAGCUUUGAAGCUCCUUGGUUAAUGUAACGAAGAAGAUUUUCAGUACCAACAAUCAUAAUUUGGGAUACAUUGUUGGUACUGAAAAUCUUCUUGCAAUUAAACUUUUUGUUUGGAAUAUGGAUUUUCAAUAUACAUAUAUUCGUUUGAGUUCAAAAAAUCCUCAUCAUCUUUCAAUUCCAGUAAAUUCUUAUUCUUGAUGAUAUCUGUCAAACCGCAAGUUGUAAAGUAAUCUUCUGGAUCAGACGUUCGCUUUAUUGAACUAGUCAUUUCUAGGUAUUUUUAUGCUUUAUCAAAGCAGUUUUUAACUGUUGUUACUUGGUUACAAGUGGUUGAUCCCAAGAGGUUUUCGUAAAAAGCUGCAUACGGUGGUGAAUUCCUAUUUAUUAGCUCAUCAACAGUUUCAAUUAUGUUUGAUUUAUAUUUGAUAUAUAUAGUGGUGUUCACUAGGGAGAAUUUCGCUGUAUAUAACAAUAAAAUAUAUUUACUUUCGAAUUAAUUAAAUAUUAUAUUCAGACCUAAAAUAUAUUUCUAUUAAAAAUAAUAAAAAUAUAUUUUGGCAAAUGUUUUCUUUUUAACUCCACGGCAACAUUUGUCUGUUUUUUCCUGGAAAUUCUAAAAUUUGUGGGAUAUGUAACACCGAUAAGUCCAUAAUAAGGACGAAACAAUAUGUUGCAUUGUCUGGGUUCAGUACUCACAGUAAGUUUUUCUUUUCAUAUUUGUUUUCAUAUUUUAAAUUAUAAUUUCUUUUCUGUAGAAAACCAACUUAUAGAACAUCAAAUGACCAUGAGAAAGAGAUUGGACGAUUGGAACGAAUGAUGGAUUGUUAGGGAAAGAUAGCAUAUAUAAAUUAGAAGAUAUUCGGGCUUUCAGUAUGUACAUAACGAUAAGGGAAAUUGUUUUUAAGUACAGUUAGUUAAUUGUGCUACAUUGACACAUUUUCAAAUAAGCUAUUUAUUUUUCUUUAACUCUACAGGACUAGCUUUCGUUUUCAAUUUGAAGAAUAUAUGUUCUUGAUAAUAGAAGUAGGUACUUUUUAAUUCUGAUGGUUAUGAAAAAGAGCACGGGUGUGGUCAGGGAUUUUUGGAUUUUUUAAGACUUAAUUAUUGUUAAAUAAAUUAAUUUUAGCUUGAGAUGUGAAAUAAUUUUAUAACUUGUAAUUUUAUACCUGCUACGGAUUGUCAACUAUAUCAAACUUGUAAUCCAACAAUUUGCUUGACCAGAUUUUUUUUCACAAAUCAAAUGGUAAUUUCGAUAUAUAAUAUAUUUUUUGUAUAUAUUUUUUAGAAAAAUUACAGAGAUGACAAUUUUUAUCUAAAGGCGCCAACUGUGUUGACUAUAACAAAAUAGAUAAGAAUAAAAAUGUCCGUAAUGGAGAUUUCUUUUUCAAAAACUGCAUUAUUUGGCUGCUCUACAUUGGAGGCAGAUGGGAUCUGGUCAGCCAUCCCGGUUAAAUCAGACCAGACCAGACACAUCCCGACCAGACCCUGCGCUCCUACACUGCAAGUGAUUUCAGGAUGCAGUACAGUGUGAGCUCUCGACGAGAAAGAAAGUUUUUGCAGUUGUGAUUUUCUGAAUUUAAAAAUGGACGAGGAACUUUUUGAUUUUAUAUUAAUGGACCAAAAUUUACUACUCAAUAAACCCACGAGAAAGUGGGUUCAUGAGUUUAAUGAAGACCACAGGCAAAGCGAAUACUACUUAACCUGCUUACCUAUGCGUGGUUAUCCAGACAAAUUUAAAAAAUAUCACAGAAUGACCGUUGAAACGUUUGACUACAUCUUGUCACACAUAAAAGGGGACAUACAGAAGUGGAGUAACUUCAGGAAUUGUAUAGGGCCAGCAGAAAAACUGUCGAUUUUGUUGAGGUAUCUAUAAACAGGUCUUUCCUUUGAAGCUCUGAGCGGAACAUUUCGCAUGAAUAGUGGGUAAAAUCGUAGAAGAAACUGGUGAUGCUAUUUGGAACCAAUUAGCUCCAAUCCAUUUACCGCUUCUAAAUCGAGAAAGAUUUCUUGAAAUUGCUGCAGAAUUUAAGGACAUGUGGAACUUUCCUAACUGUGCCGGUUGCAAAGACGGCAAGGCAGACAUGUUAAAAUCAAAGCUCAUCGGAAGAGUGGUACCAUGUUUUACAACUAUAAACGUUUUUUCUCUGUUAAUCUUCACGGUGUAGCAGACGCUCGGUGUAAAUUCAUAUUCAUUGACGUUGAAGCCUUCGGAAAGCAAAGUGACGGGGGCGUAUUCGAAGCUUCUCCAAUCUCAACUUUUUUGAAAAUUGCUCUGAAACGUUGCCAGCUCCUUCACCAAUCGAUGACAGUGACACUCUGGUUCCAUUUGUUCUAGUCGAUGACGAUGCGUACGUAUCCUUUAAAGACUUUUUUAAUGAAACCAUUCAGUCAAAGAAAAAUUACCGAAGCACAGCGCGUUUUCAACUAUCGAUUGUCACGCUGCAGAAGGUGUAUAGAAUGCGCAUUUGGAAUUUUAAGUGCAAAAUGGAGAUUACUCUACAAAGCCAUUGAAACAGAGGUAGAAAAAACCUGAUAAAAUAAUCAAAUGCAUGUGCCUUCUGCAUAAUUUGAUUAUUGACAAAGAGAAUAUUACACUAAAUCAACGAGUGCUUAAAGACGCUCUAUAGGAAUACCAACAAAAACAUCAAAGACCAGAUCUUGGCGGACGACGAUUUAACAGGUCCUCUACCGCUGCACAAGAGGUGAGAAAUUUCUACAAAGACUACUUCAAUGGCCCUGGAAGUGUUUCGUGGCAGAAUGAAAUGGUCUUCAACGUUAACAAUAAGAGAUAAACCUUAGAUACAGCGAGGCAGACAGAAUACUGCACUAUGGAAUUAAACAUUAUAUGAUGAAAAUUUUUGU